CUUGCUCUGUUUAUAUUCAAUAAAAAUUUGUUCUUAUCAGUUUAAUAUCUGAUAAUGUCCCCUCUACCCGAGGACCAUAUAUUAAUCUGAUUUUUGGAACAGGGAGACGGAAGAGGGGUUGCUCAGAUCGCUCCCAUGCUCGAAUCUCGUAUUGCAGCGACUCGAAACGGGGUGCACAUCCC